rnacentral:rRNA from 1 species
UGAACGCUGGCGGCAGGCCUAACACAUGCAAGUCGAGCGGUAGCACAGAGAGCUUGCUCUCGGGUGACGAGCGGCGGACGGGUGAGUAAUGUCUGGGAAACUGCCUGAUGGAGGGGGAUAACUACUGGAAACGGUAGCUAAUACCGCAUAANGUCGCAAGACCAAAGUGGGGGACCUUCGGGCCUCAUGCCAUCAGAUGUGCCCAGAUGGGAUUAGCUAGUAGGUGGGGUAACGGCUCACCUAGGCGACGAUCCCUAGCUGGUCUGAGAGGAUGACCAGCCACACUGGAACUGAGACACGGUCCAGACUCCUACGGGAGGCAGCAGUGGGGAAUAUUGCACAAUGGGCGCAAGCCUGAUGCAGCCAUGCCGCGUGUGUGAAGAAGGCCUUCGGGUUGUAAAGCACUUUCAGCGGGGAGGAAGGCGNUAAGGUUAAUAACCUUGNCGAUUGACGUUACCCGCAGAAGAAGCACCGGCUAACUCCGUGCCAGCAGCCGCGGUAAUACGGAGGGUGCAAGCGUUAAUCGGAAUUACUGGGCGUAAAGCGCACGCAGGCGGUCUGUCAAGUCGGAUGUGAAAUCCCCGGGCUCAACCUGGGAACUGCAUUCGAAACUGGCAGGCUAGAGUCUUGUAGAGGGGGGUAGAAUUCCAGGUGUAGCGGUGAAAUGCGUAGAGAUCUGGAGGAAUACCGGUGGCGAAGGCGGCCCCCUGGACAAAGACUGACGCUCAGGUGCGAAAGCCGUUGGGGAGCAAACAGGAUUAGAUACCCUGGUAGUCCACGCCGUAAACGAUGUCGAUUUUUGGAGGUUGUGCCCUUGAGGCGUGGCUUCCGGAGCUAACGCGUUAAAUCGACCGCCUGGGGAGUACGGCCGCAAGGUUAAAACUCAAAUGAAUUGACGGGGGCCCGCACAAGCGGUGGAGCAUGUGGUUUAAUUCGAUGCAACGCGAAGAACCUUACCUGGUCUUGACAUCCACAGAACUUUCCAGAGAUGGAUUGGUGCCUUCGGGAACUGUGAGACAGGUGCUGCAUGGCUGUCGUCAGCUCGUGUUGUGAAAUGUUGGGUUAAGUCCCGCAACGAGCGCAACCCUUAUCCUUUGUUGCCAGCGGUNNGGCCGGGAACUCAAAGGAGACUGCCAGUGAUAAACUGGAGGAAGGUGGGGAUGACGUCAAGUCAUCAUGGCCCUUACGACCAGGGCUACACACGUGCUACAAUGGCAUAUACAAAGAGAAGCGACCUCGCGAGAGCAAGCGGACCUCAUAAAGUAUGUCGUAGUCCGGAUUGGAGUCUGCAACUCGACUCCAUGAAGUCGGAAUCGCUAGUAAUCGUAGAUCAGAAUGCUACGGUGAAUACGUUCCCGGGCCUUGUACACACCGCCCGUCACACCAUGGGAGUGGGUUGCAAAAGAAGUAGGUAGCUUAACCUUCGGGAGGGCGCUUACCACUUUGUGAUUCAUGACUGGGGUGAGCNAAAAAAAGGGG